AUGAGUUUAAACCUGAUCGCCAGGUGUCUCCAGGCUGAAACAUGUCCAUGUAAUUUGUAAACGGUUAUUUAGCUGUGGUGGUGAUGUAAUCCAGUGGUCACCAACCAUCUUCCCUGAGAUCUCCUAGCUAAAUCUAACACACCUGUUUCAGUUGAUCAAGAGCUUCUUAAGGCCAUGAUUAGGUGGUCAGUGGGCACUAUUAUGUUUGAAGAUAAAGUCUUCAGGAAGGUAGAGCUCCGAGAACGGGUUUGUUGACCACUGAUGAAAUCACUAGGGCUGGGUUUAGCUCUAAUCCCAUGUUCCGACAAAAAAGUGCACGACUUUACGAAAGUCACUUUGCGUGGGUUCGGCGAAACGUAGGCCGAACGGGUGUUUUUAAAGAAACGCGUUUUCUUCACUGCAGUUUUAACGGUGAGACGAAAAUGAUCUCUGCGAAUGAGAAAACGGAAGCCAGAUGAGGACUCUGUGCUGUGACGUCGUUGGAGUAAAUAAAAUGACGCAGCGUUUGUGUAAUCGCCCGUAAGUAGCCGUGGCAGACGCGGGUCCUCCUGUGUAACCAUGACAACCAUGAUCUUUAUCGAUCGUAAGAACAGAUCGAUCGAGAGAUAACAGCAAUCGAGUCGUAGCCAUGGCAACAAUUGCGUAACAGGACUUUAUCUAAAGAAACGACCCAAGGCAUGUUCAUCCUGUGUAACCAUGACAACUAAUUUUAUUAAUUUUUUUAUUAUGUACUUACUAAUUAUGCAGAAAAGUUGUUUUUCUAGGCUUAUUAAUUACAAGCACAGAUGGGGAGAACAGCAUUCGAGUUGUAGCCAUGGCGACAGUCGCAUAACGGGAAUUUAGCGAAAGAAUUAAGUUGCAUUGUGUGUGUUAGCUGAUGAAUAUGUGAGAAGGCAGUUAAUGGAGUUCUCUAAGGAGGGGGAGUGCAUAAGACCCUAAAAUAAAAUUAAGAACCGUC